UGACUUCCAGGCGAGCAGCAGCACCCGGGGCUGGGGAGCCCGGCAGCCCCUCGUCCUCCAGCCGCGGCUCCAGGGGCUGCUCCCGCGUGGGAAGCGCUACCGGCCCAUGGGACACCGGCGCAUCCCCAGGCUGUAACGCCCAGUGCAUCGGAGCUCUCCAGCCCCCAGCACAGCAGUGUGUGACCCCAAGGGAAGAGUACCCGGUACCACUGCAGCACCCGCACCCUCAUCACCCGCCUCCGCUUGCAUCCCGCUGCCGGAUGGGGCCGGGGGAUGGCCAUGCCAUGCCAGGCGCUGGAUUCCAUGUGAGGGCUGGAAGAGCAGCAGUGAGCCUGCAUCUGCUGGGGAUGAGCAUCCCUGCGGGGCAGGAGCAUCCCGAAGAGGCGCCCACAGCUCGGUCGGGCAUCAGCAAGCUCCAGUUCUGCAGUGCAGCCUGACCUGCAGCUGGGUGCAGCAGAGCCAGACGGCUUUGGGAAGGAAAACCAGCCUUUCCCCAUCGAACUGGCGGUGGAAGUUGUGCUGGGAGCUGCUACCCUGGCAACACCACCGCUUGGUUUCUCACUUUCUCAGCCAAAGAUAGAUAAACAUGGCUCGUGGCAGGAUGUUUUUGCCAUCUGUCUCUUCUGGCUGUUGUCCCCCAGCUUAUUAAUCUCAUCUUCCUUUUAUCCUGACGGAGAGGAUGUGGGUCAACCACAAACACACUGGGGAGGUUGGGGGGACGCCUGCCAUGGAGUCGGGCUUCAGCACCUGCCUGCGGUGCCCAUGCUUUGGCGCAAUCGCAUCCACUCUCCUCCUGCGCUGGGCUGCAGCUCCGGGGCUGGGCAAGGCCACCCAUGUUCGGCGGGCAUCUGCAAAGUCCUUCGGGGUCCUGCUCCCUCCACCUCAGCGACACACAGAUAUGUCCAGUAUUGGACUGAAAACCGGCAUCACGGUUGGAGUCACAGCCCAUGGCCAUCCUGCUCCUGCUGCCGUCGCCCCGACAGCAUGACAUGGGAGGGCAGGGGAAUGCACCAUGCCUGAAACACAUCCCAGAGCCGCCACAUGCCAGAGUGGGAUAUUUCCUGGCAAGGUAUUUCGUGCAUUAUUUAACACCUCUAUUGCUUGAGAGGUCGCUGCCUUCGGCUGAGUUGAGCAGCCAUUUGCUGGAGGCAGAUGCGCAGCCCUGCGAUGGAGACCUCGGGCUGAGUCAUGCCCCUGCUCCUGUCCCCACGGCAGGUUGCUCUCCUGUCCAGAAACGCCUCCAAGUCCAGGUCCAAACUUGGCCACUCUUCUGUUUGUAUCCUUUUUUUUCCUUCUUAAAUGUCUGUACGUGCAGAAAGCUACAUAACUAGGAAUGCUUUUCUAAAGAAAACACUAAAAUCAAGUCAGCAGUGCUUAAACUGCUCUGACUGCCUCUUAAAUAAUCAAUUCAUAUUUAAUUAUCUUACCACAAAAAUUCCAUUAAAUUUAAAUAAAUAGACAUGGCAGGA